rnacentral:rRNA from 1 species
CCUACGGGAGGCAGCAGUGGGGAAUAUUGGACAAUGGGGGCAACCCUGAUCCAGCCAUGCCGCGUGUGUGAAGAAGGCCCUCGGGUUGUAAAGCACUUUCAGUGAGGAAGAACGCCUGGUGGUUAAUACCCAUCAGGAAAGACAUCACUCACAGAAGAAGCACCGGCUAACUCCGUGCCAGCAGCCGCGGUAAUACGGAGGGUGCGAGCGUUAAUCGGAAUUACUGGGCGUAAAGCGCGCGUAGGUGGCUUGAUAAGCCGGUUGUGAAAGCCCCGGGCUCAACCUGGGAACGGCAUCAGGAACUGUCAAGCUAGAGUGCAGGAGAGGAAGGUAGAAUUCCCGGUGUAGCGGUGAAAUGCGUAGAGAUCGGGAGGAAUACCAGUGGCGAAGGCGGCCUUCUGGACUGACACUGACACUGAGGUGCGAAAGCGUGGGUAGCAAACAGGAUUAGAUACCCGAGUAGUC